UUGCUCCAAUCCGAGCAACUUAAUAGUAAUAAUAGUAAAAAUUUGGGUCAUACAAUCAAAAAGGUAAUUUUAUUAAAAAGGCGUAAUUAAAGAAAUAUAAAUAGGAAGACUUUUAACUAUCGAUCCAUUGAUGACAGGCUUAGUGUUAACGAUCAUUUGGAUAUCCUGUCAGUUGAAAAUUUAGUUAACAAAAAUAGUUUUUUGGAUAAGCAGCUUAGACUGUCUUGCUGACGAAAGAAUAGUAAAGGCGGAUGAAACCCCAAAUGGGAAAGCGAAUAGAGAAGUCCAAGUACACCCGAUUGCGAUGACGUAAAUGGCCGACUGAUGCCGAGAGAAGAGCGAAGCCAAACUACAACUAUACUACUAUGGAAGAUAGCAGAGCAGAGCGGCCUAUUUCUCGAUGCAUGUUUAUUUUUGGCAGGGGCGCUGCAGUCGCAUUCACUCUCCUUGCUCUGCCCCGCUUUUAUUUUCUUUUUGUUUGGGCUUUUUGGUUUUGCUGACUUUUUAUUUGUUUUAGGGCGUUGUACAAUUGGGCGGAUACAUCAUGUGACGACGGCUGGCAAGGGCCGCGGGGAUUGGUGCUGAGUGGUGGGAUGCGGUGGCAUAAAAAAGUAUGGCAUUUGCAACAACGUAAAUGACGUGAGUUGACCUGCAUUAACAACAUGGCCUGAGUCGCUAAACAAGUCUUCUGCGGAGGCCUACAAACACACAUAGGGAAGGAGAAGAGAAUAAAGCGAGAGAGAACCCCAAGCACACACCACUACACGUAAGCCCGCAUGUAAAUGGGGAGCAGAAACGGCAGCUAAACAAACGGCAACAACAAGAACAACGCAGACAACUAUGGCCACAAAAUAACAAUACUAAAAAGAAAAAUGGAAAUAACAACGACGUCGGCGUCUGCUUGCCCCAAUCUUUAGGCUUUCGUUAUUACGCUUUGACUUCUCUUUCGGGGCUCCAGCCGAAGCAGACGAUGAAAACAAAAAAGCAUGUAAAAACAGAAUAGGCGAAGCGCCGAAGAGAGCGAGAAUUUCUGCAAACGACAAAGAUGCGGAGCAGACGAAUGUUUUUCCGUUGAUUUCAGACAAUAAAGUUGCA